UAGUACUACCAGUAGGACUGAAAUCAAAUCGAGAUACAUUGAUGGCCGAAAUGGCUGCGCCGUAGUAGCCUUGAGCGGGAACGCAGCAUGUACCCCUUCCAGCCCAAAAGAAAUGGAUCUCGAGGAAGUUAUUCGUCACAGGAGCUACGUAAUUCUUCUCAACAGCUGUAAAAGAUUUCUCUGCUUCCUUUUUGAUAUCAA
rnacentral:misc_RNA from 1 species